UGCUUUCUGAAUAUAUAGAAAGUAAUCUCCUGCCCAGUGAAUUAUUUAAACGGCCGCGGUACCAUAACCGUGCAAAGGUAGCAUAAUAACUUGCCCAUUAAUUGUGGGCUAGAAUGAAAGGGGUAACGAAAUAAGCCCUGUCUCAAUAAAUUAAAUAUAAACUAAUAUCCAAGUGAAGAAGCUUAGAUAUAAAUAAAGGACAAGAAGACCCUAUAGAGCUUUAUUUAACUUCUAUAAAUAGUAGAAUAAAAUUCGGUUGGGGCGACCAAGGAAAAAUCAUCCUUAUAUUAAAUAGAUAAAUUUAUCUAACCAUAGAUCCUAGUAAGAUCAUUAGAAUUAGCUACCUUAGGGAUAACAGGCUAAUCCUAUUAUAGAGCUCUUAUCAACAAUAGGGAUUGGCACCUCGAUGUUGGCUUAGAAUAUCUGUAUGGCGCAAAAGUCAUAAAUAGAAGGUUUGUUCAACCUAUAAUAUGC
rnacentral:rRNA from 1 species